rnacentral:rRNA from 1 species
UACGUAGGUGGCAAGCGUUAUCCGGAUUUAUUGGGCGUAAAGGGAGUGCAGGCGGUUAUUUAAGUCUGAUGUGAAAGCCUUCGGCUUAACCGGAGAAGGGCAUCGGAAACUGGAUAACUUGAGUGCAGAAGAGGGUAGUGGAACUCCAUGUGUAGCGGUGGAAUGCGUAGAUAUAUGGAAGAACACCAGUGGCGAAGGCGGCUACCUAGUCUGUAACUGACGCUGAGGCUCGAAAGCAUGGGUAGCAAAC